UACGGGGGGAGCAAGCGUUGUUCGGAUUUACUGGGCGUAAAGGGCGCGUAGGCGGCCUUUGCAAGUCCGUUGUGAAAUCUCCGAGCUUAACUCGGAACGGUCAACUGAUACUGCUCGGCUAGAGUGCGGAAGGGGCAACUGGAAUUCUUGGUGUAGCGGUGAAAUGCGUAGAUAUCAAGAGGAACACCUGCGGCGAAGGCGGGUUGCUGGGCCGACACUGACGCUGAGGCGCGAAAGCUAGGGGAGCGAACGGG
rnacentral:rRNA from 1 species